UACGAAGGGUGCAAGCGUUACUCGGAAUUACUGGGCGUAAAGCGUGCGUAGGCGGUUUGUUAAGUCCGCUGUGAAAGCCCUGGGCUCAACCUGGGAAUUGCAGUGGAUACUGGCAAGCUAGAGUGCGGUAGAGGAUGGUGGAAUUCCCGGUGUAGUGGUGAAAUGCGUAGAUAUCGGGAGGAACGACCAGUGGCGAGGCGAAGUCUCUGGGCUGAGUACCGACGCUGAGGCGCGAAAGCCAGGGGAGCAAACGGG
rnacentral:rRNA from 1 species